rnacentral:rRNA from 1 species
UACGGAGGGAGCUAGCGUUAUUCGGAAUUACUGGGCGUAAAGCGUACGUAGGCGGCUUUGUAAGUAAGAGGUGAAAGCCCGGAGCUCAACUCCGGAACUGCCUUUUAGACUGCAUCGCUUGAAUCCAGGAGAGGUGAGUGGAAUUCCGAGUGUAGAGGUGAAAUUCGUAGAUAUUCGGAAGAACACCAGUGGCGAAGGCGGCUCACUGGACUGGUAUUGACGCUGAGGUACGAAAGCGUGGGUAGCAAACAGG